rnacentral:rRNA from 1 species
UACAGGAGGGGGCAAGCGUUGUUCGGAAUUACUGGGCGUAAAGGGCGCGUAGGCGGCCUUCUAAGUUGAACGUGAAAUCCCCGGGCUCAACCCGGGAACUGCGUCCAAGACUGGGAGGCUAGAAUCCGGGAGAGGGAUGUGGAAUUCCAGGUGUAGCGGUGAAAUGCGUAGAUAUCUGGAGGAACACCGGUGGCGAAGGCGGCAUCCUGGACCGGUAUUGACGCUGAGGCGCGAAAGCCAGGGGAGCAAACGGG